GCCCGGGUGGCGCAAUUGGCAGACGCGACCCGCUUAAAACGGGUUGCCCUCACGGGUAUGUGGGUUCGAGUCCCACCCCGGGCA
rnacentral:tRNA from 1 species